GACAGAGGGUGCAAACGUUGCUCGGAAUCACUGGGCGUAAAGGGCGCGUAGGCGGUCUGUUGCGUCGGCUGUGAAAACCCGAGGCUCAACCUCGGGCCUGCAGCCGAUACGGGCAGACUAGAGUUCGGCAGGGGAGACUGGAAUUCCUGGUGUAGCGGUGAAAUGCGCAGAUAUCAGGAGGAACACCGGUGGCGAAGGCGGGUCUCUGGGCAACAACUGACGCUGAGGAGCGAAAGCGUGGGGAGCGAACAGG
rnacentral:rRNA from 1 species